GACGAACGCUGGCGGCGUGCCUAAUACAUGCAAGUAGAACGCUGAAGAGAGGAGCUUGCUCUUCUUGGAUGAGUUGCGAACGGGUGAGUAACGCGUAGGUAACCUGCCUUGUAGCGGGGGAUAACUAUUGGAAACGAUAGCUAAUACCGCAUAACAAUGGAUGACACAUGUCAUUUAUUUGAAAGGGGCAAUUGCUCCACUACAAGAUGGACCUGCGUUGUAUUAGCUAGUAGGUGAGGUAACGGCUCACCUAGGCGACGAUACAUAGCCGACCUGAGAGGGUGAUCGGCCACACUGGGACUGAGACACGGCCCAGACUCCUACGGGAGGCAGCAGUAGGGAAUCUUCGGCAAUGGGGGCAACCCUGACCGAGCAACGCCGCGUGAGUGAAGAAGGUUUUCGGAUCGUAAAGCUCUGUUGUAAGUCAAGAACGAGUGUGAGAGUGGAAAGUUCACACUGUGACGGUAGCUUACCAGAAAGGGACGGCUAACUACGUGCCAGCAGCCGCGGUAAUACGUAGGUCCCGAGCGUUGUCCGGAUUUAUUGGGCGUAAAGCGAGCGCAGGCGGUUUGAUAAGUCUGAAGUUAAAGGCUGUGGCUCAACCAUAGUUCGCUUUGGAAACUGUCAAACUUGAGUGCAGAAGGGGAGAGUGGAAUUCCAUGUGUAGCGGUGAAAUGCGUAGAUAUAUGGAGGAACACCGGUGGCGAAAGCGGCUCUCUGGUCUGUAACUGACGCUGAGGCUCGAAAGCGUGGGGAGCGAACAGGAUUAGAUACCCUGGUAGUCCACGCCGUAAACGAUGAGUGCUAGGUGUUGGAUCCUUUCCGGGAUUCAGUGCCGCAGCUAACGCAUUAAGCACUCCGCCUGGGGAGUACGACCGCAAGGUUGAAACUCAAAGGAAUUGACGGGGGCCCGCACAAGCGGUGGAGCAUGUGGUUUAAUUCGAAGCAACGCGAAGAACCUUACCAGGUCUUGACAUCCCGAUGCUAUUUCUAGAGAUAGAAAGUUACUUCGGUACAUCGGUGACAGGUGGUGCAUGGUUGUCGUCAGCUCGUGUCGUGAGAUGUUGGGUUAAGUCCCGCAACGAGCGCAACCCCUAUUGUUAGUUGCCAUCAUUCAGUUGGGCACUCUAGCGAGACUGCCGGUAAUAAACCGGAGGAAGGUGGGGAUGACGUCAAAUCAUCAUGCCCCUUAUGACCUGGGCUACACACGUGCUACAAUGGUUGGUACAACGAGUUGCGAGUCGGUGACGGCAAGCUAAUCUCUUAAAGCCAAUCUCAGUUCGGAUUGUAGGCUGCAACUCGCCUACAUGAAGUCGGAAUCGCUAGUAAUCGCGGAUCAGCCCGCCGCGGUGAAUACGUUCCCGGGCCUUGUACACACCGCCCGUCACACCCCGAGAGUUUGUAACACCCGAAGUCGGUGAGGUAACCUUUUGGAGCCMRCCGCCUAAGGUGGGAUAGAUGAUUGGGGUG
rnacentral:rRNA from 1 species